rnacentral:rRNA from 1 species
UACAGAGGAUGCAAGCGUUAUCCGGAAUGAUUGGGCGUAAAGCGUCUGUAGGUGGCUUUUUAAGUCCGUCCGUCAAAUCCCAGGGCUCAACUCUGGACAGGCGGUGGAAACUACCAAGCUGGAGUACGGUAGGGGCAGAGGGAAUUUCCGGUGGAGCGGUGAAAUGCGUAGAGGAUCGGAAAGAACACCAACGGCGAAAGCAACUCUGCUGGGCCGACACUGACACUGGAGAGACGAAAGCUAGGGGAGCGAAUGGG